GGAGCGCCCGAGCGGGCGACCGGACGAGGCACGCCGUACCCGGCCAGCGACAAGACGGUGUCGU
rnacentral:ncRNA from 1 species